AUUGAACGCUGGCGGCAGGCCUAACACAUGCAAGUCGAGCGAGCGGCGGAGAGGUGAGUAAUGUUUGGGGACUGCCCGAUAGCGGGGGAUCACAACUGGAAACGGUUGCUAAUACCGCAUACUGUCCGCUGCCGCAUAUGGGAUUAGCUAGUAGGUAAGGUAAUGGCCUACCUAGGCGAGGAUCCCUAGCUGGUCUGAGAGGUUGAUCAGCCAAACUGGGACUGAGACACGGCCCAGACUCCUACGGAGGCAGCAGUGGGGAAUAUUGCACAAUGGGCGCAAGCCUGAUGCAGCCAUGCCGCGUGUAUGAAGAAGGCCUUAGGGUUGUAAAGUACUUUCAGUCGGGAGGCGUUACCGACAGAAGAAGCACCGGCUAACUCCGUGCCAGCAGCCGCGGUAAUAC
rnacentral:rRNA from 1 species